CCCUUAGAUGUUCUGGGCUGCACGCGCGCUACACUGAAGCGUUCAACGAGUAUUCACCUUGCCCGGGAGGGUUGGGUAAUCUUUUGAAAACGCUUCGUGAUGGGGAUAGAUUAUUGCAAUUAUUAAUCUUCAACGAGGAAUGCCUAGUAGGCGCAAGUCAUCAGCUUGCGUCGAUUACGUCCCUGCCCUUUGUACACACCGCCCGUCGCUCCUACCGAUUGGGUGUGCUGGUGAAAUGUUCGGAUCGGCCGUUUGUCGCGGUUUCCGCGGCUCGUGGCUGAGAAGUUCAUUAAACCCUCCCACCUAGAGGAAGGAGAAGUCGUAACA
rnacentral:rRNA from 1 species